rnacentral:rRNA from 1 species
UACGUAGGGUGCAAGCGUUAAUCGGAAUUACUGGGCGUAAAGCGUGCGCAGGCGGUUGUGCAAGACAGAUGUGAAAUCCCCGGGCUCAACCUGGGAAUUGCAUUUGUGACUGCACGACUAGAGUGUGUCAGAGGGGGGUAGAAUUCCACGUGUAGCAGUGAAAUGCGUAGAGAUGUGGAGGAAUACCGAUGGCGAAGGCAGCCCCCUGGGAUAACACUGACGCUCAUGCACGAAAGCGUGGGGAGCAAACAGG